rnacentral:antisense_RNA from 1 species
ACUGAACCCUAGAGCCCCUGACUGUGGGCUCCACCCAGGCAAGAGCCAAUGGAACUGGAGCCUCCUGCCCCCAACAGGAUUCCUCACAUCCCAGGACCAGCUGGAAAAGGUGGUGAGAGUUGGAAAGAGACUGCUCAGUGAGGACUGCCCUGCGAACCAGCUUGGAUUCAUCCCGUUCACCUCCACGUUCUGCACGCGGGGCCGAGGGAAGGGAGGCAGCCCAGGCAGCUAGAGAACUUGAUGAAACACACUCAAUCUGAAUCUCGCUUGAUCGUCAUGCUGACCCAGUGAGGGUCAGGCAUCCUUUCCGACUACUCGCUCAGCAGCGGAUCCCCACCCGCCUCUGACUCCCAGUGUCUUUCGGCUCCAACGUAAGUUCACCGAACGUCUAAGAGCUGAGGAUUCAAAGGCAUGUUAAGACCGCCCCUGCCCUCAGCUGCAAGACCUGUCCGCGAUCCUACGAGCCCCAUUCCGCCCUCUUUCCCCGACCUUGGUCCCCCAUGGGCCCUACAACCAGGUCCCCGACUGACACCUUGACCAGCGAACACAGCAAACAGGCCCGCAGAUGCCGCAGGUCCUUCGGCACCGUCUCCAGGGCCAUCUUCGCCGAUGGGAAGAACAACAGGGAGCUAGACGACCACAGCCUGUGCACCCGCAGGAAGUAAAUAGCUCGUUACCCAGAAUGCCCACCACUUCCGGCGCUUAGACUUCCUCUUCCGGUGUGGGCGGGCGCCAGCUCCGCCCCUACCCCCGCCAGAGGAGAUGGUUUCUCCCACCGGCAGGCGGGGAGGCUGGGCGGCCGGCCGCCACCUGGGCCGGGGCGCGUCGCAGCCACCUGAGCCC